UCAAAAAAAUAAUAAUCAAGAAAUCAACUCUCUCAUCUCACUCAAAGAGCCAUCGCACAGCACAACUCACACCACCACACCCCGAUAUCGUCGUUGGACCACACACCAGAUGCACACUGGACAUAGCUGUGGCUCUCUCAUCAGUCAUCUCUGUCACUCCCUAGCCCCUACUCCAAGCGUCAUUGCUUUGAUCUCUCAUCUCUGUUGCUCGACUCACUCCCAACUCCAAGCGCACGACACCCAGCAGCUAGCACACGACACCUAGUGACUAGCGUACAACCACCGCACGACUCCACCGACAACUUCCACUAUCUACAAUGCAUCAACAGCCAACAGGUAGUCUCAACUCUAGAGCAUUGACAUGGAGGAGUCUUAGUCUAUAGAUAUGGUUAAUGUGAGAGAAAGCAAUGAUACUUCUGAGGUAAUGAAACCUCCUACCCAUACUAGUAGUACUGCUCCUAUUCCUAGAAGUAAAUGUAAAACUUUAGAUGUGUUGAAUUACUUUGAUGAGAAUGGGAAUGAGAGGGCAAGCUGUUUAAGUUGCAACAAAUCCUAUGCAUAUGGUAGUGCCUCUCAUGUGACUAAAAAUUUGAAGCGUCAUAUGGGAGAUUAUGUUAAACGUGUCAACAAGGAUGUAGGGCAAUUAAUGAUUGAUAUUGGGCGUAGAUUGCAAAGUACCAAGAUUUUUCAAGAGACUUAUUGUGAAAAAAUGGCAUUAUCAAUUAUUAAACAUAAUUUUCCAUAUUCAUUUGUGGAGCAUGAUAGAAUUAGGGACAUCCAUUUAUAUUUGAAUAAGGAAGUAAGCCUUAUACUAGGAACACCGCUAAGGCAAAUUGCUUAAAAAUAUACAGAAGGGAGAUGGAAAAAAUUAAGCUUGAAUUAGAGAGGAUUUCUAGUAGAAUAUGCUUAACUUCUGAUUUAUGGAGUUAUUGUACGAUUGAUGGUAUGUUUCUUUAACAGCUUAUUACAUAGGUGUGAAUUGGGUGUUACAAAGUAGGAUUCUAAACUUUUGCCAUAUGCCUCCUCCAAACUCAAGGGUGCUUUUGGCAGAAACAUUCUUUGGUUUCUUAAAAGAAUGGGGAAUUGAAAGGAAGAUUUUCUCUCUUACUUUGGACAAUGUGAGUAAUAAUGAUAAGAUGGAAGAUAUUUUAGAGAGGCAACUUUGUGUGCAAAAUGCAUUGUUAUGUAAUGGUGAUUUCUUCCAUGUGCGAUGUUUUGCACAUAUCUUAAAUCUUAUUGUUCAAGAAGGGUUAAAAAUUGCUAGUGUGGCUUUGCAUAAGAUUUGAGAAAGUGUGAAAUAUAUUAAAGCAAGUGAGAGUAAAAUAAUCAAGUUUGGAGAACCUACUGUUCAAAUUGGUGUGAAAAGCUCAAUGGAAUUGCGAUCGGAUGUUCUCACUAGAUGGAAUUCUACUUUUUUAAUGCUUGAAACUGUGUUAAUAUAUAUAGCGAUAUGUGUUUGUACAUUUGUCUUUAGUAGAUCCCAAUUAUAAAGAUUAUCCAUCAAAUGAAGAAUGGGAUGGGGGGAGAGGAUAUGCAAAUUCUUGCAACCAUGUUAUGAGAUUACAACUCUUUUUUCGGGUUCCAAAUACCCCACAACAAACUUGUACUUUAAAAAUGUGUAGGAAAUCCAAUUGCUAUUUAAUGAAGGGAUGGUGAGUGAGGAUGAAGUUCUCAGUAGCAUGGCAAAUCAAAUGAUCUCAAAAUUUACAAAAUAUUGGGAUUCUUAUAGUGUUGCAUUAACUAUUGCAACUUCUUGACCCGCGUUUAAAGAUUCAGUUUGUGGAGUAUGCUUACAAGAAAGUUUAUGACUUACCUACUACCUAAAGAAAGAUGGAGGUUGUUGAGAAGAACUUGUAUAAACUUUUUAAAUUUUGCAAGGCACAAAGUCCCAAAGAAGUUCUCGGCGCCACCUCUUCAGAUACUUUUCUUGCAAGUGGUUCUCCUCUUAUUAUACGUUAAGAUUAUAUUUGUGAUUUUGACAGUUAUGAGAGUGACUUUAGUGCUAUUAGGAAGUCUGAAUUGGAUCUUUAUUUGGAAGAUCAAUGUUUGAUUGCAUCAAACAUCAUAAUAUGGAUAUCCUCAAACAUUGAAAAAGCAAUUGCGAUCGUUAUCCAACACUUGUCGUGAUGGCCUGUGACAUCAUGAGUAUACCAAUAACAUAUGUUGCUUUAGAGUCUGCUUUUAGUAUUGGCAACAAAGUGCUCAAUAAAUACCCAAGCUCACUUAAACUAGAUAAUGGACAAUCUUUGUUAUGCACUCGGACUUGGCUAUAUGGAUAUGAAUUUAAAGAUGAUGAUGAGAUGGAUCAUGAGUUUCAUGUGCCAUUAACUAAUGUGAGGAUUGUGGAAUCAAGAGACUCCACUCACACUGCCAUCGGUCCAUCGUGUUCGUGAAAUCAACAUUCAACAUGAGCUAGCCAAGAAUAUUUUUAGUUGAAACAAUGCCAAGUUAUAUACUUAUAUUUA